rnacentral:tRNA from 1 species
GCCCGAGUGGCGGAAUCGGUAGACGCAAGGGAUUUAAAAUCCCUCGCCUUUCGGGGCGUGCCAGUUCAAGUCUGGCCUCGGGCACCAUUU